rnacentral:rRNA from 1 species
GACGAACGCUGGCGGCAUGCCUAAUACAUGCAAGUCGAGCGAACAGAUGAAGUGCUUGCACUUCUGACGUUAGCGGCGAACGGGUGAGUAACACGUAAGGAAUCUACCUAUAAGCGGGGGAUAACAUUCGGAAACGGGUGCUAAUACCGCAUAAUAUCUUCUUCCGCAUGGAAGGAGAUUGAAAGACGGCUCUGCUGUCACUUAUAGAUGACCUUGCGGUGCAUUAGUUAGUUGGUGGGGUAAUGGCCUACCAAGACGAUGAUGCAUAGCCGACCUGAGAGGGUGAUCGGCCACAUUGGGACUGAGACACGGCCCAGACUCCUACGGGAGGCAGCAGUGGGGAAUAUUGGACAAUGGGCGAAAGCCUGAUCCAGCAAUGCCGCGUGAGUGAUGAAGGCCUUCGGGUUGUAAAGCUCUGUCGGGAGGGACGAAAAAGCGGAUUAACAAACCGCAUUGACGGUACCUCCAAAGGAAGCACCGGCUAACUCUGUGCCAGCCGCCGCAGUAA